ACAUGAAUCACUUGGGAAUCUUGUUAAAGUGAAGAUUCUGAUGCAGUGGGUCUGCGAAGGACCCAAGAGUCUGCAUUUCUGACAGGCUUUCGGGUGAUGCCCAC
rnacentral:pre_miRNA from 1 species